rnacentral:lncRNA from 1 species
CUUACCUUCUUUUUAAUACCAGUUCUUUUAGGACCAGAAUUUGUCUUCUCUCUGUCUUUCAGGUACCCGAGGAGGAAAAUGCAGACCUAACCACUGUGCCUGGCAGUAUCCCUCCUCGCCUUGGCUGUUUUUGCAGGACAUCUGUGGCACCCUCAACAUCACUGCUUUGGGCAGCUGUUCUCCUCUUGCUUACAACCUCAGUAGUCUCUGAGUGCUUUAUCACAUGUUAUGACUGGGAGCGCACAUUUAUAACUUUAAGUUAUCAGACGGCUCCUGUAUUCCUCCUUAGCAAUUUUUAGGUCCGUGGCAGUCCAGCUAGCCUUGAGAGCUGGCUGUGGACUGAAUCUCCUAUAUGCGUCCGAGUGGUUAGUAAGCAAAUACAGUGAAGUUAGGAAUGACUCCUUUUGGAGUGAGGAUGCACAGCCUUGGACCAUUCAAUACCAACAAGUUCUUUACUAUGAGAAUGAUAUACAUAGGCAUAUCUGUGGUCAGUAGCGAGGUCGAGUAGAAGGAAUAUACAGUCUUUUGAGAUCAGUGUGUUCAGCUUUCCUUUCCAUUACCCAUCACCUAAGUCCUGUGCAUUCAUGUUGUCUGAGUUGUCUGAGGUCUUUUGGAAAAUUCCUAGUGCAGUUCAGAGAAUUAACAGCCUAAAAAAAGGAUGUAGGAGGAAAGCAACAACCAAGAAAAAUCCCAACAGCAUCAACUUGAGGCAAGGAAGCAAUGGCUUGAAAUGAUGGCAGUGUCACCCAGCAGCCCGCACAGUGACCUGAUUGGUUGGCCUCAUUGUCUGGGUCUGUUAAAAACCACAAUGAUGAGAAAAGAACAUUUGCAUGGUUUCUGUGCUGUGUCAGUGCAGCCCUGAGGAGAGGUGUGGAGAUGGUUUGUCAGGGAGAAGGGAUUUCCCUUCCGAUCGGAAAGUGCCUGAGGAAUGUUUGCAUCCUGUGCGUUGGUGUGUAACCGCUCCAUGCCCCACACGCUUCUGAAUGGGCAGCACAGCUUUUGUGUCACUCAGCCAUCUGUGGUAGAGCAGAUCAGGUUUUCUGCAGGUGUGGG